GAUGAACGCUGGCGGCGUGCCUAAUACAUGCCGGUCGAGCGAACGGACGAGAAGCUUGCUUCUCUGAUGUUAGCGGCGGACGGGUGAGUAACACGUGGAUAACCUACCUAUAAGACUGGGAUAACUUCGGGAAACCGGAGCUAAUACCGGAUAAUAUUUUGAACCGCAUGGUUCAAAAGUGAAAGACGGUCUUGCUGUCACUUAUAGAUGGAUCCGCGCUGCAUUAGCUAGUUGGUAAGGUAACGGCUUACCAAGGCAACGAUGCAUAGCCGACCUGAGAGGGUGAUCGGCCACACUGGAACUGAGACACGGUCCAGACUCCUACGGGAGGCAGCAGUAGGGAAUCUUCCGCAAUGGGCGAAAGCCUGACGGAGCAACGCCGCGUGAGUGAUGAAGGUCUUCGGAUCGUAAAACUCUGUUAUUAGGGAAGAACAUAUGUGUAAGUAACUGUGCACAUCUUGACGGUACCUAAUCAGAAAGCCCCGGCUAACUACGUG
rnacentral:rRNA from 1 species